CCCGUCCCUCCCCUCCUCCCUCUAUCUAUCUCGCGCGCCCCAGCAGCGACAGCGAAUUCUCUUUCUCCUCCUCCUCCUCCUCCUCCUCCUAUCCUCUUCCACCCUCGCCUAGGAACAAAAUCCCAUCCUCCUCCGCCCCGCUCCGCUCCGCUCCCAAAACCCUAGCAAUGUCGGGAGGGUUCUUCCGAGGCACCUCGGCGGAUCAGGACACGCGGUUCUCGAACAAGCAGGCGAAGCUCCUCAAGACGCAGAAGUUCGCCGCGGAGCUGGAGUACCUGGUGGACAUGACGAAAGUGAAGAUGGAUGUCAUGAAACCUUGGAUUGCCACGCGGGUGACCGAGCUUCUAGGGUUUGAAGAUGAAGUUCUCAUCAACUUCAUAUACGGUCUUCUGGAUGGGAAGGAGAUUAAUGGAAAGGAAGUUCAGAUACAACUCACAGGAUUUAUGGAGAAAAAUACUGGCAAGUUUAUGAAAGAACUCUGGACUCUUCUUCUCAGUGCGCAGAAAAAUGCAAGCGGCGUACCUCAGCAGUUCUUAGAUGCCAAAGAGGAAGAAACUCGGAAGAAGAAGGUUGAAGCCGACCGUGUUGCUGACGAAAUUCGGAAGAAAAGAGACGAGGAAAGUAGAGAAUUCGAACAGGAGAAAUCGAAGAGGAUGGAUGGUGUGGUAGAGACGAAGGCUUCAAAUGAUGCCCUAGAGAAGGACUUCAUAUCUUCAAGGGCCUCAAAUGCACGUCGGGAUGAUAAAAAUGAUAAUGGAAGGAGGAGUGCUUCGAGAAGAAGCCAUGAAGUUUCUAGAUCUCCUCGAUCAGCGGACCAUUCCUCCUCACCCCCUCGAGCUUCACCUUCUAGGUCAAUCAGCAAGUCAUUUUCUAAAUCCAGGAGUCAUUCAGAUGAAAGAAGCAGGUCCAGGAGUAUCUCCGCAUCACGAGAAAGACGAAGCCGUUCAAUUUCUUCUGGUAAGGGGCAUCGUUCUCCUCAAAGAAGGUCUGUGACACCUCGUCGGAGGUAUUCUCCUAGGAGAUCCCGAUCUCCAAGACGAGGAGCACCUUAUUACAGGCGAAGAUCUAUAUCUCCUCCGCAUCGCAGAUCACCAUCUCCUGUAAGGCGUAGGUUGCAUUCGCCUGCUCGACAUAGAUCACGCUCUCCAAUUAAGCGUAGAUCACUGACCCCUGUACGCCGUCGAAGAUCUCCGUCUCCUGUCCGGCGUCGUAGAUCUCCAUCUCCUGUUCGGCGUGGCUCCCCUUUUGAGAGACGACGAUCACCGCCUCCGGUGCGACGUAGAUCUUCCCUUGUCCGACGCAGAUCACCCUCUCCAGUACGAAGGAGGUCACCCUCUCCUGCGAGGAGGAGGCCACCCUCUCCUGCACGGAGGAGGUCACCCUCUCCUGUUCGAAGGAGGUCGCCAUUUCCAAAACGACACAGAUUUCCAUCUCCCAGGCAUCGUAUAUCACCUUCACCCGUGUCUCGCAGGUCAUCAUCACCUGUCCGUCAUUUAUCAACUUCACCUAUGCAGCCCAAAUCAUCAUCUCCUGUACGCCAUGGGACCCCAUCCCCUGUACAAGAGCAGCUACGGAGAUCUCAAUCAAUUUCAGGGCAAAGGUCUUCAUCUCCAUGGCGACGAAGAUCGCCCUUAUCUGUCCGCAGGAAAUCAACAACCCCUCUACCCCGGAGGACAUCUCAUGAGUCAAACUCUGCAUCUCCGAUUGGUCGUAGAUCUUCACCCUUGCGGAAGAGAUCUCCUCCAUAUGGAAGAUCACCUGCUGGAUCUUCUAGGGAAAGAAUGAGGUCACCGAGCCCAUAUGAGAGUCCUGUAAAGCAAGCUAGGAAUGUCCGGAGACGAAGCAGGUCAUCUAGCCCACACAGGAGUCCAUUAAAGCAAGUUAAUAAUCUGGUGAAUAAUGACGACGGUUCUACUUCACUGCAAUUGAGAGAACGUAGGUCGCAUCAAGAAAGCCCAGAUAAAAGUGAUGAGAGGGGAAUCAAUAACAACACUCGGGAAAGUAGGGAUCGUGCUCUCAAGCCUAGAGAUAAAAGAUCUAUGAACUCAUCUUCUUUCAGUAAACAGGGAGACUCGCCAAUGAAGGUGCAUGAUAAGGACAUUUCUCCUCCUGAGAGAGCAGGUGGAGAUCGUUCUAUUGGCUCUAAGGGCCGUUCUGAUGGCUUGGAUGUUCGAAACAAAAACCAGGAGAGAAUGAGGGAAAAGCCCUCUGGAAAGGGAGUGUUGUCACCCUCACUGAACAAAGAAUCUGGUGAGAAGCUACAGACAUCUCACUCCGUUGAAGGUAGAAAAUCUGAUGAUAAGAAUCGUUCUCGAGAUGGUAUUCGACGGCAUAGAUCUGAAGUCACACAAAGAUCUGUGGAGAAGGUUGAUCAUAGUAAACACAGCAGCUUGUCUGAAACGGGUUCUGAGGAAAGUGAUAAGCACAUUAAUGAACGCAAGGAGAAGAAAAGGCACAAAAGAUUAGAUAAGCGAGGAAAAGAUUCAGAUGAUAAUAGCUCUGAUUCUGAGAUAGAGGAUCGGAAGGAGACCAAAAGGAGGCGGAAAGAAGAGAAGAAAAUGAGGAAGGAGGAGAGACGUCGACGUCGAGAGGAGAGACGCCGCAGACGGGAAGAACGGCGUGCAGAAAAGAUGAGAACAAAGAAAGAGGAUAUUGUCUCACCUGAUUAUGGAAAGCAUUCCAGAGAUGCAUCCUCCUUGGACGAUGAAGAUGUGGACAGAAAGGAGUAUCGUUCGUAUGAUGAAGAAGCGGAAACUAAGCAAAAGAAACUGGAGAUUGAGCUACGAAUGAAGGCUCUCGAGUCGUUUAAGGCAAAGAAGGGCAUAGUUAAUCGAUAAAUGAGGUUCCUCAGCUAUUCUGUUGAUGCGACUUUAAUCAGGCAUUGCUGCUAGAUUUUCUGAUGAAAAAAAAAUCAACUUUGAUGACUUGGUUGAGCAGAACAUUGCGCAGAUCAUCAUUCUAAACAUCAACUCAGGUUUUAUCUUUGACGAUGGGAUGUUCACAAAUCCAGAUUUGUCUUUGCGUUACCGUAGUCUUGGCGAUUUCUUAUAGAAAAAGGGGGGUUUCUUUUUUCCGCUCUUUUUGUACUUAUUGAGCUUUCUGCAUAUAUUACCCUAGAUGGCAAACACAUGACUAUCGUAAUGCUUUGAGCCCCAUCGCAGAUGCGAAUUGCUACUUGGUCUCGAGUGUAACUGUACCUGGCCUUGUUGCUUUAGAUGGUAUUGGUGCAGUCAAGGGGCUAUUGUGAGUGUCGGAUUGUGGUUCCCCUUCUGUUUCUUCCCAUAUAUACUGAUCAAAAUUGGCUAAAAGCAUUUAUACGUGGCCAAAAGUUUCGU